GGUCAAGAUACUAAGAGCAUAGGGUGAAUGCCUUGGCACUAGGAGCCGAAGAAGGACGGGAUAAGCACCGAAAUGCUACGGGGAGUCGCAAGUAGACAUAGAUCCGUAGAUAUCCGAAUGGGGAAACCCACCUAAGGAGAACCUUAGGAAUCAUCUACUGAAUCCAUAGGUAGAUAGAAGGCAGACCAGGGGAACUGAAACAUCUAAGUACCCUGAGGAAGAGAAAGAAACAUCGAUUCCCUAAGUAGCGGCGAGCGAACGGGGAAGAGCCCAAACCAGUAGAGGUAACUUUACUGGGGUUGCGGACCAGCAUAACGGUAGGGAUAAUCUAUAGUAGAAGAGGUCUGGAAAGGCCCACCACAGAAGGUGAAAGUCCAGUAUACGAAAUAGAUAACCCACCAGCUGAGAUCCAGAGUACCACGAGACACGAGAAACCUUGUGGGAAGCAGGGGGGCCCACCCCCCAAGGCUAAAUACUACCUAGUGACCGAUAGAGAAUAGUACCGUGAGGGAAAGGUGAAAAGAACCCCGGGAGGGGAGUGAAAAAGAACCUGAAACCCUAUGUUUACAAGCAGUGGAAGUUCUAUAUAUGAACGACCGCGUACUUUUUGUAGAACGGGCCAACGAGUUACGAUAUGCAGCAAGGUUAAGUACUUAAGGUAUGGAGCCGUAGGGAAACCGAGUCUAAAUAGGGCGAUUAAGUUGCAUGUCGUAGACCCGAAACCGGGUGACCUACCCAUGGGCAGGUUGAAGUUGAGGUAAAACUCAAUGGAGGACCGAACCGCUUAGCGUUUAAAAGCUAUCGGAUGACCUGUGGGUAGCGGUGAAAUUCCAAUCGAACCCGGAUAUAGCUGGUUCUCCUCGAAAUAGCUUUAGGGCUAGCCUCAAGGAAAGUGACGUGGAGGUAGAGCACUGACUGGUCUAGGGGCGCGCAUGCGUUACCAAAACCUAUCAAACUCCGAAUGCCACAGUCAUAUACUUGGGAGUCAGACUAUGUGAGAUAAGUUUCAUAGUCAAAAGGGAAACAGCCCAGACCACCAUCUAAGGUCCCAAAGUACAAGUUAAGUGGGAAAGGAUGUAAGACUACACAGACAACCAGGAUGUUGGCUUAGAAGCAGCCACACAUUCAAAGAGUGCGUAAUAGCUCACUGGUCGAGUGGUCUUGCGCCGAAGAUUACCGGGGCUCAAACUAGUCACCGAAGAUGUGGGAUACGUAAGUAUCGGUAGAGGAGCAUUGUAUACAGGUAGAAGCUAUACCGAAAGGAGUAGUGGACAGUAUACAAGAGAGAAUGUUGGCAUGAGUAGCGAGAGGUGAGUGAGAAUCUCACCCAUCGAAAGCCUAAGGUUUCCUGAGGAAGGCUCGUCCACUCAGGGUUAGUCGGGACCUAAGCCCAGGCCAAAAGGCGUAGGCGAUGGACAACAGGUUGAAAUUCCUGUACUACCAGAAGGCGCUAAAAGAGAAGGAGUGACGCAGGAGGAUAGGUUAAGCACACCGUUGGUUGAGUGUGCCUAAGCAAGUAGGGAGUAUCUAAAGGCAAAUCCGUAGAUACAAUAUCCUGAGAAGUGAUGGGGAGCGAAAUACAAGUAGCGAACUAACUGAAUCCACACUGCCAAGAAAAGCUUCUAUCAAGCCUAAAGGUACCCGUACCGCAAACCGACACAGGUAGGCGAGGAGAGAAUCCUAAGAUGAGCGGAAGAACUCUUGUUAAGGAACUCGGCAAAUUAACCCCGUAACUUCGGGAGAAGGGGUGCCGAGGGAGGUGAAGUGCAAGCCACAUAAGCCUCCUUCGGCCGCAGUGAAUAGGCCCAGGCGACUGUUUACCAAAAACACAGGUCUCUGCUAAAUCGAAAGAUGAAGUAUAGGGGCUGACACCUGCCCGGUGCUGGAAGGUUAAGGGGAAUGCUUAGCGCAAGCGAAGGUAAGAACUUAAGCCCCAGUAAACGGCGGCCGUAACUAUAACGGUCCUAAGGUAGCGAAAUUCCUUGUCGGGUAAGUUCCGACCCGCACGAAAGGUGUAACGAUCUGGGCACUGUCUCAACAAGAGAUCCGGUGAAAUUGUAGUACUCGUGAAGAUGCGAGUUACCCGCGACUAGACGGAAAGACCCCGUGGAGCUUUACUGCAAGCUGACAUUGGAUUUUGGUAUCCUAUGUACAGAAUAGGUGGGAGACAGAGAAAUCAGUGCGCCAGCAUUGGUGGAGUCGUCGUUGGGAUACCACCCUUAUGAUACUGAAGUUCUAACCAUAGGCCAUGAAACUGGUUUUGGGACACUGUCAGUUGGGCAGUUUGACUGGGGCGGUCGCCUCCUAAAAAGUAACGGAGGCGCUCAAAGGUUCCCUCAGCACGGUCGGAAAUCGUGCGAAGAGUGUAAAGGCAGAAGGGAGCUUGACUGCGAGACCUACAAGUCGAGCAGGAACGAAAGUUGGACUUAGUGAUCCGGUGGCGCCGAGUGGAAGGGCCAUCGCUCAACGGAUAAAAGCUACCCCGGGGAUAACAGGCUUAUCUCCCCCAAGAGUCCACAUCGACGGGGAGGUUUGGCACCUCGAUGUCGGCUCGUCUCAUCCUGGAGCUGUAGCAGGUUCCAAGGGUUGGGCUGUUCGCCCAUUAAAGAGGCACGCGAGCUGGGUUCAGAACGUCGUGAGACAGUUCGGUCCCUAUCUGUCGUGGGCGUAGGAAAUUUGAAAGGAGCUGUUCCUAGUACGAGAGGACCGGAAUGGACAGACCACUAGUGUAUCAGUUGUCCUGCCAAGGGCAUGGCUGAGUAGCCAAGUCUGGUAGGGAUAAGCGCUGAAGGCAUCUAAGCGCGAAGCCCCCCUUAAGAAAAGAUUUCCCAUCUGGUAAACAGAGUAAGACCCCAGAAAGACUAACUGGUUGAUAGGUCGUAGGUGUAAGAGCAGCAAUGCUUUAAGCUAAACGAUACUAAUAGGUCGAGGGCUUGACCAG
rnacentral:rRNA from 1 species